AACCCGUAGUCAAGUCUACGGAG
rnacentral:miRNA from 1 species